rnacentral:misc_RNA from 1 species
CGCACAUUGCGCCCCUUGGUAUUCCAUGGGGCAUGCCUGUUCGAGCGUCAUUUGUACCUUCAAGCAAUGCUUGGUGUUGGGUGCUUGUCCGCCAGCGGACUCACCUUAAAGCUAUUGGCAGCCGCCGCGUAGGCAGCAGAGCGCAGCACAUUUGCGACUUUGCCCUCCAGCGUCGGCAUCCACAAGCCCUUUCAACGUUUGACCUCGGAUCAGGUAGGGAUACCCGCUGAACUUAA